UUCUCGCGAGAUGAGACACUGUGAGACUGACAGAACGGGGCGAUGUUUCAGAUACAUCACCGUGCUGCUCUGUGACUGUGUAUGUGUCUGUCAGCUCAGUUACCUAACCUUAAGUGAGGGUUGGUUAGCAUCUACCCUUAAGCACAAAGAGGUCCAUGGAGAGAUGUAGCGCCCCCCUUGGAUGAAGAGGGUUUACAAAAGAAAGAGGAGUAGUGACCAAACCUGCUACUUUAACUGUCGGGGAAAAAAACAGAAAACCAGUAUGUAAAGUGCACACACUGCACAAUUUUCAGUGCCUGGGGCUGAAGGUGGAGCAUAAUUAAGUGCCUCACCAGCUGCUGCGGUCAUCUUGGAGCUCCCGUGUGUCACCUAAGGCUCUGUUUUUGCCGGCAGAUGACUUCCCAAGAGCUCGCUACAGCAAUGUCCGGACUUGUUAUAGCCCUUCAAUAAAAAUUUUAUUAAUAAAA